AGAAUGAACGCUGGCGGCAUGCCUAACACAUGCAAGUCGAACGAAGCCUUCGGGCUUAGUGGCGCACGGGUGCGUAACGCGUGGGAAUCUGCCCUUGGGUUUGGAAUAACAGUUAGAAAUGACUGCUAAUACCAAAUGAUGUCGUAAGACCAAAGAUUUAUCGCCCAAGGAUGAGCCCGCGUAGGAUUAGCUAGGUUGGUGAGGUAAAAGCUCACCAAGGCGACGAUCCUUAGCUGGUCUGAGAGGAUGAUCAGCC
rnacentral:rRNA from 1 species